AAAUUAUGCAGGCUGCCAGUGCUAUCCAGAGAGUGCGCGGCUUAUGGGAACAACCAGUCCGGUUGCGUGACGCUUUCUGUUUGUAAGCCUUGUUUAGUUCCUAUUUCUUUUAUUGUAGCACUUUCGUUUUUAUUUGAUAAUUAUUAUUCAAUUAUGAACUAAUUAGGCUCAAAAGAUUCAUCUCGUGAUUUAUAGACAAACUGUGUAAUUAUUUUUUGUUUUUGACUAUAUUUAAUGCUCCAUUCAUGUGCGGCA
rnacentral:lncRNA from 1 species